rnacentral:rRNA from 1 species
CGUAGGGUGCUAAGCGUUAAUCGGAAUUACUGGGCGUAAAGCGUGCGCAGGCGGUUUGUAAGACUGCCGUGAAAUCCCCGGGCUCAACCUGGGAAUGGCGAUGGUGACUGCAAGGCUAGAGUUUGGCAGAGGGGGGUAGAAUUCCACGUGUAGCAGUGAAAUGCGUAGAUAUGUGGAGGAACACCGAUGGCGAAGGCAGCCCCCUGGGUCAAAACUGACGCUCAUGCACGAAAGCGUGGGGAGCAAACAGGAUUAGAUACCCUGGUAGUCCACGCCCUAAACGAUGUCUACUAGUUGUCGGGUCUUAAUUGACUUGGUAACGCAGCCAACGCGUGAAGUAGACCGCCUGGGGGAGUACGGUCGCAAGAUUA